AUUGAACGCUGGCGGCAGGCUUAACACAUGCAAGUCGAGCGGAGAUGAGGUGCUUGCACCUUAUCUUAGCGGCGGACGGGUGAGUAAUGCUUAGGAAUCUGCCUAUUAGUGGGGGACAACAUUCCGAAAGGAAUGCUAAUACCGCAUACGUCCUACGGGAGAAAGCAGGGGAUCUUCGGACCUUGCGCUAAUAGAUGAGCCUAAGUCGGAUUAGCUAGUUGGUGGGGUAAAGGCCUACCAAGGCGACGAUCUGUAGCGGGUCUGAGAGGAUGAUCCGCCACACUGGGACUGAGACACGGCCCAGACUCCUACGGGAGGCAGCAGUGGGGAAUAUUGGACAAUGGGGGGAACCCCGAUCCAGCCAUGCCGCGUGUGUGAGAAGGCCUUAUGGUUGUAAAGCACUUUAAGCGAGGAGGAGGCUACUGAGACUAAUACUCUUGGAUAGUGGACGUUACUCGCAGAAUAAGCACCGGCUAACUCUGUGCCAGCAGCCGCCGUAAAAC
rnacentral:rRNA from 1 species